UUAGAGAGGUGGGCCUCGAACCCACAUUUGAGAAAUCAAAAUUCUCUGUAAUUCCAUUUUACUACCCCCU
rnacentral:tRNA from 1 species